rnacentral:lncRNA from 1 species
AAGUUUUUUUAUUUUUAUUUUUAUUUUUUUUUUAGGGAUGAAAAAGGAUACAGAGAAAGUGCCUGGCAUUUAGGUAGAAAUGCUCAGAAAAUGUUAGUUUUCAUCUUCGUUUUCCACCCUCUUCCCCUCCGUUGGAUAAUAAAGCUUUCUUGGGAAUGAAGUUUUUAUGUGACAGGUUUAUCUCUCCAUUAGGACUCCAUACAGUAGGAAUAGUUUGUGGUGGAUCUGUCUGCUCCCCACGUGUGGCUGGUGGAAGAUGUAUUCUCUUUACCACUGUGUUGGUUCCAAGAGACUCUCCUCUUAAGCAGUGGCUGAAGAGGACACUGGGACGAUCUGUUUCAGUACUGCAGUGGGACUGUUUGCCCUUUCCAAUCCAUUGGUUUGGGAGUUAAGAGAUCAGGUGUGUUCAUCCAACUUGAAAGUGUGCUGGAUAAAGAACAUACCCUUCUGGUUUUAUCUCUCAUCAAUCUCACUUCAGUCUGAAGUACCGUGCCAGAACUUUCCUCACCGUCACCGCCAUAGGAGCUGGUUUCUGGCCAAGGACUCAACCUAUAGUUGGUUGCUUCUUUCCUUUACUUAAGGCUGGGAAGAGCACAAUGACUUCCAUACUGAGGAGACAAAGACGUUGUUAGAUGACUAGAGGCACUUUGAGAAAGCACCACAGGUCCCACCAAGAUCCUGCCUCUUUGAAUCAGGUGCAGAGGAUAGUAUUUGGUAGUCCCGGAUGAGAGCUUCUACAGGAGACAGUUACAAACUGGUCAUCUUAUCCUUACAAGCUGAAGGGUUGGCACCUGCUUCAGAACAAGGCCUCCAGCGUUAGAGAACAUCUCCAAGCACAUGGAACGCUCCACAUGUUGCCUUCCUUGUGAAAUGAGAAAAGGCUCUGCAAGAAAUAAAACACCGACUAAAAGAAGUGAAGCAGGCCAAAAGAUUUUAUUUCCGCUGCUGACCAAGGACAAGGCUCUUGAAGAGGUCUGCUGGAGAAAAACCCAUCAGUUGAGAGGACUGAAACCCUUUGGCAGAGAUGUGGGAGGUUCGCUGACUGGUCUCGAAAUUCUUGACCCAAGCCCCGUAAGCAAGCUUCUCUCUCCUGUGAGCAUGGCAACAACAGAUAGGGACAUCAGAAGACCUGGGGGUGAGUAAAUUCCUAACAUGGAAGAGGGUUGGUCCUCCUGAGACUUCCAAUGGGUAUGGA